AUGUAUUAAUAAGCCCUGGCAACUGUUCUUUAGCAGUUGAGACUCCGAGCAUGCCUUUUUUAUGUUCAAGAGAAUGGCUAGUAAUUGAACAAGGUAUGGGAGGCACGAUGGAUCAUAAAUUAUAUCUGCACCCAAAACAAUGUCAGGCAUGAACUCCUGAAGCUCAUUCUUUGUUGCAGAUUUCCAAGGCAGAUGAAUGCAAUUCACCAUAUUUAGAUCUUGUGUCCAUUUCAGCUUUCGCCUGCUUUCUGUAUAACAUAUUUAGAUCUUGGGAAGAUCUUUCUGGCAUGCCAGUAUCAGUCCUCAACUGGUUUAACUCCAAAUUAAGCUUCAUGUUAGCUAAAGUUGACAAAUCACCGUCACUUAAUAUAACCUUGGAAGCUUUUACAUGGUAAAGACAAAUUCCAACCAAACCAACACCAGAACCAACCUCAAAACAUGAUUUUCUGAAGAAUAUGUUGGGAAAAGAAAGGACAAACUCUGAUAAAUAUAGACUUGCGGGCCAAACAGCACACCCAGUGUCUCCUUCAAGCAUGUUGAGUGAACAAUGCAGUGGAACCAUCAAC
rnacentral:misc_RNA from 1 species